rnacentral:misc_RNA from 1 species
GAAAUGCGAUAAGUAAUGUGAAUUGCAGAAUUCAGUGAAUCAUCGAAUCUUUGAACGCACCUUGCGCUCCUUGGUAUUCCUUGGAGCAUGCCUGUUUGAGUAUCAUGAAAUCAUCAAAGUAAAUCUUUUGUUAACUCAAUUGGUUUCUACUUUGGUAUUGGAGGUCUUUGCAGCUUCACACCUGCUCCUCUUUGUUCAUUAGCUGGAUCUCAGUGUUAUGCUUGGUUCCACUCGGCGUGAUAAGUUAUCUAUCGCUGAGGACACUGUAAAAGGUGGCCAAGGUAAAUGCAGAUGAACCGCUUCUAAUAGUCCAUUGACUUGGACAAUACUUUUAUGAUCUGAUCUCAAAUCAGGUAGGACUACCCGCUGAACUUAAGC